AUUGAACGCUGGCGGCAUGCCUUACACAUGCAAGUCGAACGGUAACAGGUCUUCGGAUGCUGACGAGUGGCGAACGGGUGAGUAAUACAUCGGAACGUGCCCGAGAGUGGGGGAUAACGAGGCGAAAGCUUUGCUAAUACCGCAUACGAUCUCAGGAUGAAAGCAGGGGACCGCAAGGCCUUGCGCUCACGGAGCGGCCGAUGGCAGAUUAGGUAGUUGGUGGGAUAAAAGCUUACCAAGCCGACGAUCUGUAGCUGGUCUGAGAGGACGACCAGCCGCACUGGGACUCAGGCACGGCCCAGACUCCUACGGGAGUCAGCAGUGGGGAACUUUGGACAAUGGGCGCAAGCCUGAUCCAGCCAUGCCGCGUGCAGGAUGAAGGCCUUCGAGUUGUAAACUACUUUUGUACGGAACGAAAAGACUCUGGUUAAUACCUGGGGUCCAUGACGGUACCGUAAGAAUAAGCACAGGCUAACUACGUGCCAGCAGCCGCCGUAAAAC
rnacentral:rRNA from 1 species